rnacentral:rRNA from 1 species
ACGCGAAGAACCUUACCUGGUCUUGACAUCCAGGGAAUUAGGCAGAGAUGCCUUAGUGCCUUCGGGACCCGUGAGACAGGUGCUGCAUGGCUGUCGUCAGCUCGUGUUGUGAAAUGUUGGGUUAAGUCCCGCAACGAGCGCAACCCUUAUCCUUUGUUGCCAGCGGUCCGGCCGGGAACUCAAAGGAGACUGCCAGUGAUAAAAAGAGAGGAAGGUGGGGAUGACGUCAAGUCAUCAUGGCCCUUACGACCAGGGCUACACACGUGCUACAAUGGCAUAUACAAAGAGAAGCGACCUCGCGAGAGCAAGCGGACCUCAUAAAGUAUGUCCGGAUUGGAGUCUGCAACUCGACUCGCAUGAAGUCGGAAUCGCUAGUAA